GUUUAGCUGAGUUGGUAGAGCAUGAGGCUCUUAGGCUCUUAAUCUCAAGGUUGUGGGUUUGAGCCCCAUAUGGGGCA